ACCCUGCAAGAUCCCUGAACCUGUAC
rnacentral:piRNA from 1 species